rnacentral:rRNA from 1 species
UACGUAGGGGGCUAGCGUUGUCCGGAAUCAUUGGGCGUAAAGCGCGUGUAGGCGGUUCGGUAAGUCCGCUGUGAAAGUCGGGGGCUCAACCCUCGGAUGCCGGUGGAUACUGUCGGGCUUGAGUACGGAAGAGGCGGGUGGAAUUCCUGGUGUAGCGGUGAAAUGCGCAGAUAUCAGGAGGAACACCAAUUGCGAAGGCAGCUCGCUGGGACGUUACUGACGCUGAGACGCGAAAGCGUGGGGAGCAAACAGG